rnacentral:rRNA from 1 species
GACGAACGCUGGCGGCGUGCCUAACACAUGCAAGUCGAACGCUGAAGGAGGAUCUUGCUCUUCUGGAUGAGUUGCGAACGGGUGAGUAACGCGUAGGUAACCUGCCUGGUAGCGGGGGAUAACUAUUGGAAACGAUAGCUAAUACCGCAUAACAGUAGAUGUUGCAUGACAUUUACUAAAAAGGUGCAAUUGCAUCACUACCAGAUGGUCCUGGGUUGUAUUAGCUGGUGGGUGGGGUAACGGCUCACCCAGGCGGCCAUACAUAGCCGGCCGGGGAGGGUGGUCGGCCGCCCUGGGAGGGGAACAGGGCCCAGGGGACUGCGGGAGGGAGCAGACGGGAACCGUCGGCAACGGAGGGGAGUCUUGCCGAAGGAGGGCGAGGCGGAGGAAGAGGGUCUGCGGGCGGGAAGAUCGGUUGUGGGGGGAGAACGGGUGUGAGAGUGGGAAGUGCACGUUGUGACGGUACCUGAAGAAGAAGCACCGGCUAACUACGUG